AAGUGUGUGUCUUUUUGUUUUUCACAGAGUUUAAGGGUCAUGAGACCAAAAAGUGAGAAAAACCACUGUGGUUCAUCCCCAGCCGGGAUUGUCCAGUUUAAGGGUCAUGAGACCAAAAAGUGAGAAAAACCACUGUGGUUCAUCCCCAGCCGGGAUUGGUCCAUUUGUUGCUCUGACCUCAUAAAGUGCCAGUGUGAUGGAAUUGCAAACCACUCCCAUACAUAAGGCCCUGCCUGGGCUGAGGAUUUAGUCCGUGUAGUGCAGGGAGCUCG